rnacentral:tRNA from 1 species
GGGUAGAUAUGCAAGCGGUCAACGCAAACGGUCUGUAAAACCGUCCUCUCUGAGUUCGCAGGUUCGAAUCCCGCUCUGCCCA